CAGAAAUGUUUGUCCCUUGUCAACAAAGUUCACUGGCCAUCAUCAACUAUGCAACCAGGCUGGCAGACAGUCAGAGGCCAAAACUGCUAUUCUGGGGGCUCAAAAGUGCUUACUCUUCUGGUGGACCAGGUCACUUGAAGACGCUCGCUCGAUGUGGUGCCAUCCUGUUCCAUAAUGCAAGGCGGCGGCAGCAAGCCCCAGAUUCCAAGCAGCCAUAUGACCUCAAAGGACAACCGUCAACCUCAGCAAUAUUACACCGGGAGGUGAAGCAGCCCAUUGGUCACACCGACCACUAGCUGUUAGGCCCUGCCUGCUCUGAUGCGUCUCCACCUUGUAAACAUACAAGCUUGGGGUGAACGGAAGGGGUGAGCAACGGACACAUAUCAUCCUGUAAACUGGGGACAGGAUCCAGCGUGUGACUGAGAAACCCCACAUUUGCUGUGAACUUGAGCCACACUGCGGGUAAGCCACAAUAUCUGCACCUCGUUUUUCUUGAUGUCCGGCCACAGUGAGCACUCAGAGUUCUAAGAGGGGAUCUUAGGACCCUGAGAUCUUAGGGUGUUGGUGCACUCCGUUUCAUC